ensembl:snRNA U6 U6 spliceosomal RNA
GCGCACACUUCGGCAGCACAUAUACUAAAAUUAGAAUGGCACAGAGAAGAUUAGCAUGACCCCUGCACAAGGAUGACACACAGACUUGUGAAGCAUUCCAUAUUUUU